rfam:Agrilus planipennis Contig4841, whole genome shotgun sequence.
AUAUAGAUAUAAAUUGGUAUCUUCGGUACCCUGUUUUCUUAGGCUGAAGAGGACCCUAGUUGGUCCUAGAAUGGCCUGAGGUAGAGGGGUUUUAGUCGGUAGGUCCGAGGACUUCUUCCUCGGGAAUCCGACGCUACCCAGUGGUACCGACGGCUGGGUGUCUUUUGACGAUUUCCCCUCUUCCACAAAA